UACAGAGGGGGCAAGCGUUGUUCGGAAUUACUGGGCGUAAAGGGCGCGUAGGCGGCCUGUUAAGUCGAACGUGAAAUCCCCGGGCUCAACCCGGGAACUGCGUCCGAUACUGGCAGGCUUGAAUCCGGGAGAGGGAUGCGGAAUUCCAGGUGUAGCGGUGAAAUGCGUAGAUAUCUGGAGGAACACCGGUGGCGAAGGCGGCAUCCUGGACCGGCAUUGACGCGUGAGGCGCGAAAGCCAGGGGAGCAAACGGG
rnacentral:rRNA from 1 species